UAUUUCUAUAGGGUAGUAUAAUUGCGUAGUAUAGUAAUUGGUAAAUGUAUUUUUAGGGGUGAUAGGCUUUACAAGUUUGUGGAUAACUUGAUACACAAUAAAAUUAUAAAGUAAUAAUUCAUAUUCUAAAAGUUAAGCUUUAGAAUAUUAAUUAAUUUAAUUUAAUGUAUAUAUUAUAGUUUAAUAGCUAAUUUAUAUAAAUAUAAUUAUUUUUUAUUAUAUUUUAUUUUAAUUAUUGUGUUAUAUUUUUUUAAGGAAAAUAUUGAUAAUGUUAAUAUAAGUAAUUAUACUAAACAGGUUUUAUGAACUCGGCAAAUUAUUUUUCAACUGUUUAUCAAAAACAUAACUAUAUGAUAUCAUGUAUAGCUUUUCCUGCUCAAUGAUAUUAAAUAGCCGCAGUACCCUGACUGUGCAAAGGUAGCAUAAUCAGUUGGCUCAUAAUUGGAGUCUAGAAUGAAUGGAUUUUUGGAAAAUGACUUUAUUUUACUUGCUUAUUUAAAAUUAGUUUGUAAGUGAAAAUACUUACAUUUAUAUAAAGGACGAGAAGACCCUAGAAAUUUUUUAUUUUGUUGGGGCGACAGAAUUACAUAAAACUAAUUUGAAUAAACGUAACGUUUUUACAUUUCGAUUAAAUUACUCUAGGGAUAACAGCAUAAUUUUAAUAGUUUGUGACCUCGAUGUUGGACUAGGAUAUUAAUGGUCUAGAAGACUUUUAAAUUUGCUCUGUUCGAGCU
rnacentral:rRNA from 1 species